GUUCGAUCCUGGCCUGAUUGAACGCUUAUACAGAUGCUGACAGCAGGCGCAAGUCGAACGGUUACCCGGACUUCGGUCUGGUGGCGAGUGGCGAACGGGUGAGUAAUGUAUCGAACGUGCCGUAGUAGAAUGGGGAUAUAAUUCGGCGUGAAAGGAAAGACAUCGCAUAAUACCUUCGGGGAGUGGGACCUUCGGGCCUCGCACUAUUAGGAGCGGCCGAUAUCGGAUUAGCUAGUUGGUGGGGCAGGCUCACCAAGGCGACGAUCCGGGCUAUUUGAGAGACGAUCAGCCACACACUGGACUGGAGACACGUAGCCCAGACUCUUACAGAGGCAGUGGGGAAUUUUGGACAAUGGGGAAACCUGAUCCGUUAUCCCGGCAAAAGAUGUGAAGGCCUUCGCUGGGUAAAGCACUUUGGCAGAAGAAACGGCAUCGACAAUACCCCAGCAACUGACGGCACCUGCAGAAUAAGCACUGGCUGGAAUUCACGUGCCAGCAGCCAGCGGUAAUAUGCAGGGUGCAAGUGUUAAUCGAACGAUUACGCGGGGCGUGCGGUAUCUGGAAAGGAAAGAGCAGGAAACCAGAGCCAACUUUUGAACCAUUUUUGAAAUCACUGAGCCGGGGAGAGCGCUCGAGGGUGAAUUCCUGCGCAGCAGGAAAUGCAGAUAUGCGGAGGAACAACGAUUAAAGGUGCUUCCGGAGCAACACUGACGCUCGCGCACGAAAGCGUGGGGAGCAACAGGAUUAGAUGCCACCUGGUAAGUCCACGCCCAAACGAUGUCAACUAGCUGCUGGGGCCUGGGCCUUAUAGUAGCAGCUAACGCGUGGUUGACCGCCUGUGGGAGUACGGCUUCAAGACAAAACUCAAAGGAAUUGACGGGGACUCCGCACGCCGCUGGUGGAUGAUGUGACGAAUUUGAUGUGCAACGCGAAAAACCUUACCUACUCCUUGAUGAAGGUCUGGAAUCCCGAAGAGAUUUGGGAGUGCUCGCAAGAGAACCGGAACACAGGUGCUGCAUGGCCGUCGUCAGCCGAAGUCGAGAUGUUGGGUUAAGUCCCGCAACGAGCGCAACCCUUGUCAUUAGUUGCUACGAAAGGGCACUCUAAUGAGACUGCCAGAGCAAAUCGAGAAGGUGGGAUGACGUCAAGUCCAGCAGGCCCUUAUGGGUAGGGCUUCACACGUCAUACAAUGGUCGGAUAGAGGUCGCCAACCCGCGCGAGGGGAGCUAAUCCCAGAAACCCGAUCGUAGUCCGGAUCGCAGCCCGCAACCUGACUGCGUGAAGUCGGAAUCGCUAGUAAUCGCGGAUCAGCAUGUCGCGGUGAAUACGUUCCCGGUCUUGUACACACCGCCCGUCAGCCACUACGGGAGCGGGUUUACCAGAAGUAGCUAGCCUAACCGUAAGGAGGGCGAUUACCACGGUAGGAUUCAUGACUGGGGUGAAGUCGUAACAAGGUGAACCUUCGAAUGGCCACCUGAUGCUCCUGGUGAGACAAUAAUAAAAACUGAACCAGCGAAAAU
rnacentral:rRNA from 1 species